rnacentral:rRNA from 1 species
UUUCGCAAUGCCCGAAAGGGUGACGAAGCGACGCCGCGUGCGGGAAGAAGGCCUUCGGGUUGUAAACCGCUGUCGGGAGUUAAGAAAUGUAAGGAUGUUAAUAGCAUCUUUGCUUGACUAAGGCUCCGGAGGAAGCCACGGCUAACUCUGUGCCAGCAGCCGCGGUAAUACAGAGGCGGCAAGCGUUGUUCGGAAUUAUUGGGCGUAAAGAGCACGUAGGCGGCUAUGUAAGUCGGUUGUGAAAGCCUUCCGCUCAACGGGAGAACAGCAUCCGAUACUGCAUGGCUUGAGUGCGGGAGGGGAGAGUGGAACUUCUGGUGGAGCGGUGAAAUGCGUAGAUAUCAGAAGGAACGCCGGCGGCGAAAGCGGCUCUCUGGCCCAUAACUGACGCUGAGUGUGCGAAAGCUAGGGGAGCAAACGGGAUUAGAUACCCCGGUAGUCCUAGCCGUAAACAAUGGGCACUAAGUAGAGGGGUUUUA